GCGCGCACAGGUGAUUGACUGGCCAGCUGGCUGAGGAAUCGCCUGGUCCCCAUUGCUGGCAGGUGGCGGAGCCCAUUUGGGCGGCGGCAGCAGCAGGAGCGGCAGCAGCUACGGCCCGGCUCGGGAGGCGUUUUUCGGGCCAAGGCUAUGGCCCCGCGGCUGCAGCUGGAGAAGGCGGCCUGGCGCUGGGCGGAGACGGUGCGGCCCGAGGAGGUGUCGCAGGAGCACAUCGAGACCGCCUACCGCAUCUGGCUGGAGCCCUGCAUCCGCGGCGUGUGCAGACGAAACUGCAAAGGAAAUCCGAAUUGCUUGGUUGGCAUUGGCGAGCAUAUUUGGUUAGGAGAAAUAGAUGAAAAUAGUUUCCAUAACAUUGAUGAUCCCAACUGUGAGAGGAGAAAAAAGAACUCAUUUGUGGGCCUCACUAACCUUGGCGCUACAUGUUACGUCAACACAUUUCUUCAAGUAUGGUUUCUCAACCUGGAGCUGCGGCAAGCACUGUACUUGUGUCCAAGUACCUGUAAGGACUACAUGAUGGGAGAUGGUAUCCAAGAGGAGCAAGAUUAUGAGCCUCAGACAAUUUGUGAGCAUCUCCAGUAUUUGUUUGCCUUGUUGCAAAACAGUAACAGGCGAUACAUUGAUCCAUCGGGAUUUGUUAAAGCCUUGGGCUUGGACACAGGGCAACAACAGGAUGCCCAAGAAUUUUCAAAGCUCUUCAUGUCUCUGUUGGAAGACACUCUGUCUAAACAAAAGAAUCCAGAUGUGCGGAACAUUGUCCAGCAGCAGUUCUGUGGAGAAUAUGCUUAUGUAACCGUUUGCAAUCAGUGUGGCAGAGAGUCUAAGCUUUUAUCAAAGUUUUAUGAACUGGAGUUAAAUAUCCAAGGCCACAAGCAGUUAACGGAUUGCAUCUCAGAAUUUUUGAAGGAAGAAAAAUUAGAGGGAGACAAUCGAUACUUUUGUGAAAACUGUCAAAGUAAACAGAAUGCCACAAGGAAGAUCAGGCUCCUGAGCCUUCCCUGCACCCUGAAUUUACAGCUGAUGCGUUUUGUCUUCGACAGGCAAACUGGACAUAAGAAAAAGCUGAAUACCUACAUUGGCUUCUCAGAAAUUUUGGAUAUGGAGCCUUAUGUGGAACAUAAAGGUGGGUCCUAUGUGUAUGAACUCAGUGCAGUCCUUAUACACAGAGGAGUGAGUGCAUAUUCUGGCCACUACAUUGCCCAUGUGAAAGAUCCACAGUCCGGUGAAUGGUAUAAGUUUAACGAUGAAGACAUAGAAAAGAUGGAGGGGAAGAAAUUGCAACUAGGGAUUGAGGAAGAUCUAGCAGAACCUUCUAAGUCCCAGACACGUAAACCCAAGUGUGGCAAAGGAACUCACUGCUCUCGAAAUGCGUAUAUGUUGGUAUAUAGACUACAAACUCAAGAAAAACCCACCACAGCUGUUCAGGUACCAGCCUUUCUUCAAGAGCUGGUAGAUCGCGAUAAUUCCAAAUUUGAGGAGUGGUGUAUUGAAAUGGCCGAGAUGCGCAAGCAGAGCGUGGACAAAGGAAAAGCUAAACACGAAGAGGUUAAGGAGCUGUACCAAAGGUUACCUGCUGGAGCUGGUCUGUAAGAUAUUCUGGGACAGCACUGUUGCCAUGAUGUGCCUUGUCUCUUUCAUGUUCGCAGAUGUAUAUGAACAAACCUGCCCCCAACCCUUUCCUAUACCCUACUCGUGCCGCUGAAGCGCUGCAGAAUUACUGUGUAAACCAGCAACAGUGUGAUGUGUAGCGUUCCUUAGAGUUUUCAUUUAUCAUGUACUUUAAGAAUGGGAAGCUCUUAAUAAAUUACAAGGUUUAGGUCAGCGCUCUGUGUAUAUAUAAGUCUUGCAGACAUUUUUGUUUUGUAAGAUACUAAUUUGUUCUUAACAAAAGAUCUGAUUGGAUAACUAUGGAAGCAACUGACUAUGUUGAUUCCUUGCACAGUGUGUGCCCUGGCCUUAUUAACCGGCACUCUUUUCUAUGAAUGCUAUUUUUAUGAUUCUGGUAGACUGAUCUGAAAUUUUAAUAUCAAAUAUUCUGCUAAGAAUAGGAGAGCUCUGCUGACCCCUAAUUUCUUAAGAAUUAUCCCACAUGAGCCAGCUCAUCCCUUUACUGUGUAUGUUUAAUGCAAGUUUACCUAGUGUAGUGCCUUAGAAAGAAAAUCCCAACUUUUCCAGGCUACUGUGCCACCAGUAAUGAUACGCUGUCUUUGUUGUUUCAUUGACAGAAUUCCCCAUGCCCAGUUCCUGCGUAAAGGAGAGGCAAUUCAAUCCUAAUUUUAGAAAAUAAAUACUCAAGCAUAAUUGUAUUUGUGGUUUUGUCUUUUUCAUAUCUUAAUUUUCUAUUACUGGUAUAACUUUAAACAAAAGAUGAAUAUAAAUUGCUAAAUCUGUAAGAAUAGCUCUUAAAAGUUCUUUCUGAACAUAUCUUACUUGAUUCUGACCUUUCUUUGUAACCUGCUACUCUGACUCUGUCCCAAGGGUUGGGAUGAUUCUAAAGUGCUAGACUGACCUUAUUUUACUGGAAAUUAUUUGGAAAUGAAUAUGAUUCAAAUCUCUAAAUUUAUUCAAAAGAGUUGAGACCUAGAAAUCUAUUUUUGAACUGUAUUCCCCAGUUUCCUGCAUUCACUGGACGAGAGACUGGGACUUACUGAAUCUAAAGUAAAGUGCCGUUUUUGAACCACUCUUUAAAACUGCUGCAUCACCCAAAGAUUGGAUGUGUCAGGUUAACACUUGUGCUUAAUACUUGGGCUUCUCUUGGCUGUUUUCGUUUAGUCUAGAAGAACCUGUGCUUAUGUUCUUAGAAUAUGGCUCUUUAUCAGUACUUUUACAAAUUAUGAACUUUAUGAUUUUUUUUUUCCCAUUUGCAGUAAACUUACAUGGUAGAAAAUAUAUGUUGUGCUAAAAUGUUGAAAAAUCCCAAAGCAGAUGACCAUGGUUUUGUGCUGCCAAUCCAAGUCUUUGCUAAGCAUUUUCUGAAUCCUAUCUGUGUUUGCAAACCUAUUUAAAGAAGAGUCACUUACCUAAAAUACAAGCCUCAUUGGGAACACAAACCCUUUGGCCCUUUUUAUUAAAACAAAUUACCCCUAAAUAAUCAAAUUUUAUCUCUAGGUGGAGUGUUCCAAAUAUUUUUGAUGCCACAGUUUUCCCUGGCCUUUUUUUUUUUUAUAACUCCCCCAAAGAAAAUGUCUAAUGUUCAAUCCAGCAUUUAAAAAAAAAAAAGUUAGAAGUAACUUUUAACCGAAAUGUACAUUUUCCUUAGUAAAUAUUUUAACAAAUGCUUUCCUGUUUGGCUAAAUGCUGAGAUUUUAAACACUGGUAUCUCCACCUUGGCGAAUAGAGGUCUCAUUCCUUUUUGGGGUGAAAGUGUUGCUCAGGUGCUUUUCUGGAUCACAAGUCAUAAAGAACUUGCCGUGAGUCUUUGUCUAGAGCGGAAGCAUCUGUAGUUUAAAAACUUUCUAGCAAAUCUGCCUUAACCUUGAGACUUGAGCUCGACCCUGAUCCCAGGGAUACUCUUGGCAGAGAUUGAUACAGUUCGUUAUAGUAACAGUGAUGGAAAAUGAGAGAAAGAGAGACCUAUGACCACAGUUCCUCUUCUCCCACGGGUCCUCCAGCAUACUAAAACUGGCACCCUGAUUCUAGAAAAUGGCCAGAAUUAAUAAUACAGUAUUACAUCAGAAUCCCUGGCCUGCUCUCUUCCUCCUCUUACUAUAAAAUAGAUAUGAUUUUUCUGAUCUUAAUAUCUUACAUUUAAUUCAUAUGAAACUGCUCAAAACCAGAAUAUGCUUCACUUGGACAUUUCUGUGGGACUCUGGUAGGGGAUUGGAGCACGGUGUCUUGAACAGACUGCCGUUGAGCCUCGUUGUUGUCGUACAGGUCAGGGGUAUGGCCGCCCUGGACCUUGAGUCCUAUCAGACAGCCCUUGGGCAGGCGUGCUUUGUGCACAUGCAGUUUUCCUAGAUUGCUGUUCUUGUGAGGGUGAGAUCCUUACUGCAUUCUUCACUUAGCCAUAGCACGUGUCGUCUGCUCUUCUGGGAAAUGAGAACACCUGCCAAAUUAUUCUGGAAUGUGGCUCUGUGUCACAGUUGUGUUUUCCCUCCUUUGAUGGCCUUUAGAUCAAUACAAAUUUUAAUCUAUGUGACUGUAUUUGGGAAAAGAAGAGAUAUGCCGAAACGUUCACUUUCCUUUCUUGGAUAGAGAUCAUUUGUCUUUGCAUUCUUAAGAUACCCAGUGUACUCUGUCCCUGGCAGAUGCAACGUGAUAAAUGGCAAAUAAAAUUGGGAGGGAUUUUAAAUUUAAUGAAUGGCACCAUUUAUAUAUUGUAUGUAAAGUGCCAUGACCAUGUAAUCUAUACUGAAUGUUAAGGUCUCCUCUUUAUAUAUAUUUUGUGAAUGUAUGAUUAACUUUUCUAUAUCUCUUUUCUUCCAAAAAGCUCAAAAUGCUUCACUUAUCUUAUCUUUUACAUUCAACAACAUCCCUGUGAGAGCCCUAUGAAUUUGUCUCUCUUGAGUGGCUGCAGAAGUGGCUGGAUGAAUCAACAC